rnacentral:rRNA from 1 species
CCUACGGGUGGCGCGGAUGACGAAGAAGAUUUGGGCCUGGGCACACUGUUCGGCGACGAAGAGGAACAGGAACCGGCGGACGCGGGCGUGACAGACACCUUUAACGAAGGCACCUCCGGCGCGACGGACACCUCCACAUCCGAAACCUCGGGCUCCAGCUCCUCGACGCAGCUGGUGGGCGCGCUGGCUGUGACCUAUGCGGGCAACACGAACGCGGCGGUGAUCAAGACCACAGGCAGCAUCAUUUCCGGCGGCGCGCUGAAAGCGGAAGCCACGGCGGAGCAGAAGGUGACCACGGAGGCCGACGGCUCGCCUCUCUCUGCGGAAGAGGAAGCGGCAGCAGAGGAAGCGGCGGAAGAGAGCACCACGGUUACGGGCGGAACGAUCGAAGCGCAGGACGGAGAGACUGCGGGCGAUACCCUUGUAGUC